UACGUAGGGGGCAAGCGUUGUCCGGAAUCAUUGGGCGUAAAGCGCGUGUAGGCGGCUCGGUAAGUCUGCUGUGAAAGUCCAGGGCUCAACCCUGGGAUGCCGGUGGAUACUGUCGAGCUCGAGUCCGGAAGAGGCGAGUGGAAUUCCUGGUGUAGCGGUGAAAUGCGCAGAUAUCAGGAGGAACACCAAUGGCGAAGGCAGCUCGCUGGGACGUGACUGACGCUGAGGCGCGAAAGCGUGGGGAGCAAACAGG
rnacentral:rRNA from 1 species